UAGCACCUCUGCAUCCAGAGUUCCACUG
rnacentral:misc_RNA from 1 species